CCAACGGCUCUUUUCAGAGCCACCAACAUAACUCAAAGAGCCUGA
rfam:Mus musculus chromosome 13, GRC primary reference assembly.